CCUACGGGAGGCAGCAGUGGGGAAUAUUGGGCAAUGGGCGCAAGCCUGACCCAGCAACGCCGCGUGAAGGAAGAAGGCUUUCGGGUUGUAAACUUCUUUUCUCAGGGACGAAGAAAGUGACGGUAUCUGAGGAAUAAGCCACGGCUAACUACGUGCCAGCAGCCGCGGUAAUACGUAGGUGGCAAGCGUUAUCCGGAUUUAUUGGGUGUAAAGGGCGUGUAGGCGGGAGCGCAAGUCAGAUGUGAAAACUCAGGGCUCAACCCUGAGCCUGCAUUUGAAACUGUGUUUCUUGAGUGCUGGGGAGGCAAUCGGAAUUCCGUGUGUAGCGGUGAAAUGCGUAGAUAUACGGAGGAACACCAGUGGCGAAGGCGGAUUGCUGGACAGUAACUGACGCUGAGGCGCGAAAGCGUGGGGAGCAAACAGGAUUAGAUACCCCAGUAGUC
rnacentral:rRNA from 1 species